UAAGAAAGGUUCAAAAGUGUUACAAAAACGAUGACGAAAUGUGUUAGAAACCAUAUAGUGGUGAUGAUAGAAUUGCUUGUCUUUAUUCUUCAUGAUGUGCAAGCUAAUGACCUUGCCCCUAGUUCAUUGUCUUUAUCUUCACCUCCCAUUUUGCUUCCCUAUUCCUUUAAACUUGAUGAGGCCACAGGAGCAAUGCAUAAAUGCAUUAUAGAUAAUGUAGAUGCUUGUGCAAGUUCUAAAAGAAUAUGGCCAUUUCGUGAUAGUAAAUAUGAAAUUUGUAUUAAACGUAUUUUGUGGAAGUGCUUCUUUCAUGUCAAUCCUAUUUAUCACUCAAAAGUUAUGCUUGUGAUUAAUAAAAUUGUGAUGUGUGCCAAUGCAAAUUGCUACCCGAAAAUGAGAGUGAUGCACAUUCAUGCAAGAUCCCAUUUUUCGAGUUGUGUAUUGGAAUGUUGUGAGGAGCGUAACAAGAGGCACUCAAAUAUGAUUUAUAUGCAGAAUCCUUGAGUUGCAGCCUUUGAUCUGAUGCAGCAAGGAUAAAGGGAAUUAGGCAACAUGAGUCUUUGGUCGAGGUAGAUGGUCAAGUUAGCACUAAGGAAUAAGUCAACCGCAAUUUAGUAUAUUGCUUAGUAAUGACGUUAUGUUAUGGUUGAAUUUCAUAUUUGGAUUAAGGUGUAACCCUUAUUACAGUUAUAAUUUUUGAUGUAUUUGUUCUAGUUUACUUAUGAGUAAUGCUACAUAUCACCCUUGUGUGCUCCUAUUAUCCUCUCAAAAUUGAUGUGGCUCUUAAAAUUACUGUUGGAUCAAAAUUCAAUAGUGGUCUAUCAUAAAUCUAAUGAUGAUUUUAAGAGCCACAUCAAUUUUGAGGGGACAAAAGGGAGAUACAAGGGUGAUAUGUAGCAUUAUUCUUUACUUAUAUGGUAGUUAGUUUCCUUUGCGCAAUAAAGAUGUAAGAUCACUUUCUUAUCCCACAUAGGUCAGGGUGUGACCUUUUCAUACCUAUUAUUAAAUGUUAUGGUUUCAAAGUA